rnacentral:rRNA from 1 species
AACCGAUAUCGGGCCCUACGGGGCGCAGCAGGCGCGAAACUUCACAAUGUGCGAAAGCACGAUGAGGGGAUCCCAAGUGCUUGUUCGUAAGAGUAAGCUGUUUUUAUGUCUAAAACGCAUAGAGAGUAAGGGCUGGGUAAGACGGGUGCCAGCCGCCGCGGUAAUACCUGCAGCUCAAGUGGUGACCGCUAUUAUUGGGCCUAAAACGUUCGUAGCCGGUUUGGUAAAUGCCUGGGUAAAUCGUGUAGCUUAACUAUACGAAUUCCGGGUAGACUGCCAAACUUGAGACCGGGAGAAGCUAGAGGUACUCCUUGGGUAGAGGUGAAAUUCUGUAAUCCUAGGGGGACCACCAGUGGCGAAGGCGUCUAGCUAGAACGGGUUUGACGGUGAGGAACGAAGCCCUGGGGCGCAAACCGGAUUAGAUACCCGGGUAGUCCAGGGUGUAAACGCUGCUUGCUUGAUGUUAGUUGGGCUCCGAGCCCAAUUAGUGUCGGAGAGAAGUUGUUAAGCAAGCUGCCUGGGAAGUACGAUGGCAAGAUUGAAACUCAAAUGAAUUGACGG